rnacentral:tRNA from 1 species
GCGAAUGUAGCUCAGUUGGUUAGAGCGCUGGUUUGUGGUACCAGAUGUCGUGAGUUCGAAUCUCAUCAUUCGCCCCA